UCUCCGUUGGUGAACCAGCGGAGGGAUCAUUACUGAGUUACCGCUCAUCAACCCUUUGUGAACAUACCUUAACUGUUGCUUCGGCGGGUAGGCGUCCCCUGAAAAGGACGUCUCCCGGCCCUCUCCCGUCCGCGGGUGGGGCGCCCGCCGGAGGAUAACCAAACUCUGAUUUAACGACGUUUCUUCUGAGUGACACAAGCAAAUAAUCAAAACUUUUAACAACGGAUCUCUUGGUUCUG
rnacentral:misc_RNA from 1 species